UACGCAAUACAAACCACUGAAUAAAAUCCGACAAUCCCAAAUAACAAAUUCAUAUAAGCCACAUAACAAGUCUAGGUUUUACACUUUUCCAACUUCAAGUGGCAAUCCAAGACAAAAAGUCGCCUAAACUUAACAUAUUCCCAAUCCGAUCUAUGAUGUAAAUAUAAUUAUACAAUACAAACCGCAAAGCGAAGUCAUAUGAUUCAAUUACAUUCAUAAGAAAAUACAACUAGGUUUCAGAUCGCCCAAUUGCCAGGACCUGUCAAGAAAAAAAAAAUGACGUGGGGUGAGCUACACAGCCCAGUGAGGUUCCAAGACACUCUAACAGUUCAAACAAAUCAAGAAAGUCGGGCAUAUCAUAUGCAUGGUUCAACGUUACACAAUGGCAUGUUAUCAUGAGGUGAUAAUCAUUAUACGGUAAUUUGAGACAUUUAUCAUGGUAUGAGACAUUUAGCAUGUAUAGUUCAUGAUUUCAUGUUGGCCUUUUAGCAUGAAACAAUUAUCAUGAUACAAGGUAAACAUAUACUGUAGGAUACGGUAUUCCAGUGGAACCCUGUCGGUCAUCUGUACCUUAUGACUUCCGGAUCCCCUCGGUUUGACUGGCCAUCACCUUAUCCCUCCAGUGGUAGUACUCGAGUAUACCGAAACGGUUGUCCAGGGUUCCAACCUACCCGACCGAGCCCAGUCCUGGCUCGAGUAGGUCAGUAACCGAGGCAGGGCCCAAGUUCAGCUUAGAGCUUACAACAUGCACAGGUAACCAAGUAAUUCGACAAAAGGUAAAAUUCAUCAUUUGAGUAGGUCGAGUGAGGUAAAGUACACACUCGCCUAUCAAUGAUGGACAACUUCAUAUAACAUGUGAUUCAUGAUAAUCAAGUAAUCAAGUGGAUACUUAGCACGUAAGCACGUAAGCAAUACAAGUUGAUUUCAUGGAAGCAUGUAAUUCACGGAUAUCGAAUAGUCAUGUGGGUUGGUAAACGGUUCGCGGUUCACGGUUAAUGGUUGAGUAGUGACGGUUAUUUGAUAGGCAUUUGCCAUAUUAAUAAGCCAUCAUUGGCCGUUAUCUUAUUUUUAUCACGCGAGAGUCGAGGAGAUUCACAACACGUAAACUGGUCGAGGGAUUCACCCAACGACGUCACAACACGUAAGAUAUUCACGAAAACAUUUCACACAAGUCACCACUCGAAAGGCUAGUGUGAUAAAGUACACACGACUCACUUCGAUGGAUCAAAAAUCGUUUUCCAAAUUAUCACAUAUCGAGUCAAGAAAGCACUUUAACCAAAUAAGCAUAGAACAAGCAGGGAUACUCAUUUUACAAAACCAAGUAGGCUAAGCAAGUAAUCUAGCAAAUUAAACAUGUAUCGAGUUUAUAUAGUCAUUUGACAUGGUUAAUCAUUUAACCAAUUCAUGUCGGUACGCAAUGCAAGUAUUCAUUAUUUAUAUAGACAUGAGUAUGGUAAAAACUUAACACUUAAUAAUCAUGAAAUGAGCAUGUCCUAGACUUAUUCAAUUACGUAUUCCUAUAUGGAACACUCACCUAGCAACAAGAGCAAUAGGUUCAAUUUGAAAUUCAGGCGUCCUCUGUCGGAUCCUCUUGAAGGUCCUCGUGUGCGCCUGAACAAAUGGUAAUAGUCUAUCAUUUAUAAUCCCUACUAUUGAUGAAGAUCGUAUCAUAGUAAAAUCUUAGGAAAAAUCUUGUGAAACAAGCCUUAAUUAUCCUAAAUCGAGACUCUCAAGCGGGGUUUCAAGGUACAAGAGAAAUUAAGUCUACAUCAUGAAAAUCAAGGAUAAAACAUUUGAAUAAUAUCGAAGGAAUAAGGAGUACUGGAAAAACUCCCUUCCGUGGAAUUCGGAAAAUUUUCAGUUUUGAUACGAUACUUUGAAAAAUCGUAUCUCACAUUCUACAUGUCAAAAAUUAGAAAGAUUGGUACCAAUGGAAACCUCUUCCAAAGUACUAAAAGUUCCUAGAAUACACUUUUCUAAGAUUCCACAUGGAAAGCAUUCAAAAAUAAGCUCAAAGUCUCUGUUUUGGUUCAUAAGGCAGAUUUAAAGUUAGUUUUUGGCCAACUUUGAAAACUCGGCAAAAUUCAUUUGAUUGGAACUAGCCUUUGAAAUUUGUAACUCAAUUAGUGUUGUAAACCAAGAGUAUAACAAAAUAGACAGAAUGAGAAACAGAGUUUUGAGCACCAAGAUACGGUAGCUCAAAGUUACUAAAAUUUUCUUGUUAAACAAGGGUUUUCGAACUCAAGUCAUAAACUUUGGUAAUUUAUUUGAGUCAUGAAACGGUCUCGGAAUAACACCAUAAUUAGCAGUAUAAUACUACCAUAUAAGGGCUAUUCCUCUGUCAAAUUUCAUAGAAAAAUAUGCACGGGAAGUCACUUAACAAAAUCACUCAAGUUUCCAAAAUUUUAAGGCAAGGCUGCCUUAUGUAUGAAAAUUUCCUUUUCUAAGCUUUUGACCAAAAGCAAAUCCUCUAAACAUGGUUCAUUUGUAUAGGCAAAAUCUAAAGAACAUUCAUGGUACCUUUGGUGGGUGUUUAACACCAAGAAAUUUAAUUAGCAAGUCUAUACCAAGCCUUGCAUCAAAUCUGUCCAAAAGUUAGGAUUUCCAAGAGCAGGGCAGGUUCUGUAUUUUGAUCACCACUCACUCAAUUCAACUCGGAAUUGAGCAUGGUUGGUGGCGUUGGAAAAUAAAUUUGUAGGGAUAUAAUUUCACAGAAGAAAUAAUUUUCAAAUUCCAUUCACAAACAACUCGUUUUUGAGCAUCAAGAUACAAGUCCUGUCCUGUCUCCUGGAGAGAAACGAAACAGGACAGUGAUUUUCAAUCGAAUGGUGUGGCUCAUUCAAGUGGAACCAGAACGUGCAUUUCGUACCAAUGGAAAGCUAGGAAUGUCUAGUUUCAAAUGCCACUGACGGCACUCAAUUUCGACAACGGAGUACAGAGUUAUGGCCAAAACAAGCUGGCUGUCUAGUAGUGACGGGAAUCAGUUUUCCAGAUUUGCAGAUUUUAAAACUCAACAUGCACUCACCCAAAUCACGUAAAAUUUCGAGGAAACUUUAAACACAACCUAUAUUUCACAUUUGCAUCAAAAACAAGUAAAUUGGACUUCAAGAAAGUACACUAAAUGAACGAAAAUAGCAGAGCAGAAACGGCUUCAUCACAUGCAACUCCGCAUUUGACUUCCUUUUCAUUUUUGCCACUUAACUCUACUAAAUUAGCACUUAAUCAACACAAUCAACAUCCAAUCCUAGCUAAUCAGAUCAUCCAAGUCAUUGUGGGAUUUCAUAGAGCCCACUCACCAAUUUUCCAACAAGUUAAAGCUGCCCAUGAGAAUCCAAGAGCUCAUGAGUGAAAUUUAUCUUCCAUAGAACAAGAAUUAAGUGGUUGAUCAUUACUUACUUCGUUAGAGAGCCAAGACAGAAAUUUUUCGGCCCCUUAGAUGCUCAAGACAACCGUGGAUAGCAGCCCUCUUUCCUAGCAUAAUUCUCACAAAGAAAAUUCAUAUUACAUGCUGCAAAUCCAGUUCCAUACUCUCCAACUAUCACAGAAUUUUUUUCCAGCAUAGGGUCAGUCAUUAAACAAGAUUUCUUCAGCCAACAACUCUUAUAAACUUAAGAUACAUAUAUAACAUACGUUUCCUAUCAUUGGUUUCCGCAAAUUUCAGUCCAAACAUGGGAUAACAAACUGCAACUCAACAGCAAGCUCUCGGUUCCUGCAAAUUUCAGUCCAGCAACUAUUCAAUCCAAAAUCAGAAUUUUUUUUCCUCGGUCGAAAGCCCAUUUUCCUUGCUAAAUUCUAACAUGCAGCUUAAGUACUAUAUAUAUUAGUUGAGUGAGAGUUUAUUGCAGAAUUUUACCUCUUGUUUCUCUUAGAAUCUGAAAUCGCAGACCGCUCUAGCUUUUCUGCUUCAGCUAGCACCGAUCCUCUUUUCCUUUUAUUCACUUCAUUCUCACCCGAUUGAAGCUGAUAGGUAAAGAAACUAACAAGUUUGCUCUCCCUCCCUCUCACUUCUGCUCACGGUUUUGAGGUUGGAGAAAUAGUUUAGCUCUUGGUUUCUUCCUUUGCUC
rnacentral:lncRNA from 1 species